AAUUAGGAAAAGAAGCUGAAAAGAAAAUUUCCCAGAGAGUAAGGCUGUGUUAGUCAGUCAUUGGUUACUGUGACCAAAUGCCUGAAAAAGGUAACAUAAGAAAGGAAGGAUUUGCUUUGGUUCACAAGAAGCUGUUAGUUUCAGAGGAUUCCAUCCAUACUCACCCGAUGCCAUGCUUCUGGACCUGUGGUGAGGCAGAAGAGUGAAGGAGAAAGCUGCUCACCCCAUAGCAGCCAUGAAACAGAGCAUUAGGGUGGGAAGGGGUGUAGCAGAGGCUCUACCUUCAGAAGUUCCACGUCUUCCAAUGGCUUAUUCAAAGUCUGAAUCCAUCAGUGGAUUAGGUCAGUGCCCUCAGGGUCUUGUUAGCCUUGUGGCUAACUGUGCUUCCCAGGCACAGUCCCAGGGUCUGAUCUCGUUGAAGAUAUAGCUCUCAGCUACUUCUCCAGAACCAUGCCUGCCUGCCACCAUGCUCCCUGCCAUGAUAAUGGACUAAGCUUCUUAAACUGAAUUUGCUAUCAGAAAACUCAGGAGGGAGCUUCUUUCCUCAGGAACUGAGUAAAAACAUCUGCAGAGUUCCACAACGGGCAUUGUGCAUUGGGGGACAAAGACCCUCUGUUGAGCUUGUCCGUGGCUUGGCUAAAGUACAACCAAUCUGCCUCUGUAAGGAGGAGCAGCACCAGAGAGGAUGAAGUCAGCCAAGAGUUCUUUACAGCAUGGGCUGUGCAUGGAGCAAGAAGAAUCCAGAGAUGAAGAGGGUGCCUCUGACUUCUGUGGCUGAGACAUGCUCAACCUCUGUCCUCCAGACACAUAGUGCAUUAUGUUUGCUGUGUGAGCACAUUUCCUCUUUGCAAACUAAUCUGAGUUAGGCAUUUGUCACCUGACACAAAAUAUUUCUAAUUAAAUAACUAGCAUGCCAUCAUCCAAGAGUUUCCUUCAAUAUGAGGUUUGAAAGCCAGGAAUGAUGCUAUUCGUACCCAUUUAAUCAAGAAUGGACCUUCUGGCCUGAGGACAUGGCUCAGUGGGUACAGUGCUGGCUAGGUAAACCUGAAGAUUGGAUCCCAUAUGAAAAGCCCACU